AUGUUUGCUGCUGCAACCAAAAACUUUGUUAAACAGGUUGGUGACGGAGGAAGACUAGUGCCAGUGCCCAGCCUCAGUGAAGCUGAUAAGUACCAACCUCUCAGCCUUGUGAUUAAGAAAAGAAAAUGUUUGCUUUCGAAAAAAUCUAAAUUUGCUUCAACACCUUUCACGUUAAAAGACAUUCUUGAAGGGGAGAAAGAAAUUUCUGCAGGUGUUUCAUCCUACCAGUUGCUCAACUAUGAAGACAAAUCAGAUGUUUCACUCAGUGGUAGAAGAGGAAAUCAGAUAAUCAACGAUGUUGGUUUUGAUGUUGCUGGAUCAGAUUCUAUUGCCUUUAAAGCUUCAUUUGGCAUAGUGACCAAACACGAGGUUGAAGUACCGACGCUGCUUAAAGAACUUACUACAAGAAAAAUAAACUUUGAUCAUUGUCUAGUCCAUCAAACAAGAAAAAGUAGGAUGGAGAUUCUGUGUGUAGUCAUGGAAAGCAUUAGGACAACAAGGCAGUGCUCAUUAACUGUUCAUACUGGGAUGCGUGGAGAGACUAUGAGGUUUCACAUAAUUGAAGACCAAAAUAGUAAAGGACGGGACAAAGCCAUUGUUUUUCCUGCACAUACAACGAUUGCUUUUAGUGUAUUUGAACUUUAUAUUCGUUUGGAUGGGAAUUUUGAACUGUGUGUGACUCCAAUUGCAAAGGGGGGAUUUGAAAAAGAGAAAUCUGGAUCAUCUUCAAUGAACAAAUUAAGGAGAUUAAAGCAUAAUCUCUUUCAUCGAAAUAAAAGAAUAGUGAGUAUCGUCCCUAGCUCUGAUAGUUACUUGGAGGACCUUUUUACCGACUACUAUGAGAAAGCUGCAAGCAUGACUGAUCUCUCUACAAGCUAUCUCAGAGAUGGGGCUCAUGUCCGAAUUAAUUUACUUAAUAACAACAUCCCCAAAGGUCCUUGUGUUCUUUGUGGAAUGGGAAGUUCUAAAAGAGAAACAGUCUAUGGAUGCCUAGAGUGCUCUUUUAAUGGACAGAAGUAUGUACGACUGCAUGCUGUGCCCUGUUUUGACCUCUGGCAUAAAAGAGUGAAGUAACUGCUGUAGGUUUUUUUUUUAUAGAUGAAAGUGCUACAAUGGCCUAAAAGCUAUAGAAAGCCUGCAGUUACCUUCCUGGGAUUCUGUUUUUCUGUUUGGACUUAGAAGUAUUCAUUAGGAAUUUUCUAAAUAUGUCAACAGCAGUGCUCACAAAACCAAGACAGGCGGCAUGUACUGGGAAUUCUGAUGCAAAAUGCAGAGCUUUGGUGGCAGUCUGUGAAAAGAACUGCUUAAAUCAAACUGGAAUUAGCAAAAUUAAGCCGUGCUGCUCCAGUCACCUGAAGUGUUCUACAAAAUUAAUAAAGCACCAACUCUUAGUCAUUUACAAUACUGUUUGCACAUUAGAAGGUAAAUAAAACAGAGCAAAACAAAAAAAAAAAAUUAGUUUUUAAACUUUUUUUUUUUUU